rnacentral:rRNA from 1 species
UACGUAGGGUGCAAGCGUUGUCCGGAAUUAUUGGGCGUAAAGAGCUCGUAGGCGGCUUGUCACGUCGACUGUGAAAACCCGGGGCUCAACUCCGGGCCUGCAGUCGAUACGGGCUGGCUAGAAUUCGGUAGGGGAGACUGGAAUUCCUGGUGUAGCGGUGAAAUGCGCAGAUAUCAGGAGGAACACCGGUGGCGAAGGCGGGUCUCUGGGCCGAUAUUGACGCUGAGGAGCGAAGCGUGGGGAGCGAACAGG